UUAUGGACUAGGCCGGGCCGCUAGCGGUGGCUUGUCACCAUAAAUCCGCUUUAUGAUGGGGCUGAAGUGAGGCAAGAGGUUCGUAUGCUAUUGUUGACACCAUUUUGGUGGCGUCGAAGCUCUGUCCUUACAGGUGUUUCACUGAAACGAACCCCGCCAGGGCAGGAAUGCAGCAACGGUAAUUUUAAUGGAAGACGCUGAAGGGAAACGGAGUGGAGUCACUAGAGUGAAAUGCUAACAUUAGCUAAAAAUCCAUUGCCUUACGCGUCCAUGC
rnacentral:SRP_RNA from 1 species